UGAUAUGUGGCAAGAAAUAGCUGCAGGA
rnacentral:sRNA from 1 species